rnacentral:rRNA from 1 species
CCUACGGGGGGCUGCAGUGGGGAAUUUUGGACAAUGGGGGAAACCCUGAUCCAGCCAUCCCGCGUGUAUGAUGAAGGCCUUCGGGUUGUAAAGUACUUUUGGCAGAGAAGAAAAGGUAUCCCCUAAUACGGGAUACUGCUGACGGUAUCUGCAGAAUAAGCACCGGCUAACUACGUGCCAGCAGCCGCGGUAAUACGUAGGGUGCAAGCGUUAAUCGGAAUUACUGGGCGUAAAGCGUGUGUAGGCGGUUCGGAAAGAAAGAUGUGAAAUCCCAG